AGUGAACGCUGGCGGCGUGCCUAAUACAUGCAAGUCGAACGGUAACAGGGUGUAGCUUGCUACACUGCUGACGAGUGGCGCACGGGUGAGUAAUGCAUAGGUUAUGUGCCCCAUAGUCUGGAAUAGCCACUGGAAACGGUGAUUAAUACCGGAUAUUCCCGAGAGGGGAAAGUUUUUCGCUAUGGGAUCAGCCUAUGUCCUAUCAGCUUGUUGGUGAGGUAAUGGCUCACCAAGGCUAUGACGGGUAUCCGGCCUGAGAGGGUGAUCGGACACACUGGAACUGAGACACGGUCCAGACUCCUACGGGAGGCAGCAGUAGGGAAUAUUGCUCAAUGGGCGAAAGCCUGAAGCAGCAACGCCGCGUGGAGGAUGAAGGUCUUCGGAUUGUAAACUCCUUUUCUAAGAGAAGAUUAUGACGGUAUCUUAGGAAUAAGCACCGGCUAACUCCGUGCCAGCAGCCGCGGUAAUACGGAGGGUGCAAGCGUUACUCGGAAUCACUGGGCGUAAAGAGCACGUA
rnacentral:rRNA from 1 species